CUGUCAUCUUCCACCAGAGUUAUACCAGUGUCCAUUAUUUCCUCAGGGAGCAAGCUGUUUACUUCUGCUGACACCACCUCCAUUUUAGCAGUUGUGGCAGUGAUGGCCGUAGCAGGUACGGGCGGGCGGGCGCUCCGCUGCCGCCGCCUCCUCUUCCUCGCUCCGCGCCGCGCUCCGGUGCCGCGCCCGGCGGCGGCGGCGGCAGUGCCCGCGAGGAGCCGCCGCGUUUGUUCAAAAUCACGCGCCCCGCGCCGUUCCCCCGCCGCAUCCC
rnacentral:lncRNA from 1 species